UUCCGAAAGGUUAUAGGGGAAAUUUUUAUUUUUUUGGAAAACACGAUUUUUUUAGCGAGGGUUUAUCGACUCCCUAUCUUCUAGGGUUUAAGAAGAGGGAUUUUGUGAUAUAUCCUGUUCGAAGACAUUUGGGGUUUCGGCUGUCAAACUCAGAAGGAUAAAGUGGAAGUAUCAUAGGAGGGUUAGAAGUGAAAAAUGCAGUCCUCCUCGCAUAUGAUACCCGAGUACACAAGAAACAAGUAAUGAUGAAGGAAUGGAGCAGGGUCCGACAUUGUGCAGUGGAGGUAAUUAACAAAAAGGCACAUUUGGCUCAAUAUUGUGCUCUAGCUGCUUGUGGAGUACGCUCUUUUUCAGUAUCUCUCCAUCGUAAAUUAUUAAAUCAUGUGACACGCCUCUUAACUGUAGGUUCUAAGAGACAACUUGAAGCUACCGAAGCUGCUGAGUUUCUGAGGGAUACAAUCAAACAGAAGGUUGAGAUGGUUUCUGGAAAUGAAAAGAGAAAGUCAAAAGUGUAGACUCGAGUGGACAUGUGUGGCCUAAUAUUAGGGAUUUGGGAGAGGUUGGGAGAGGGGACAAUGCCCCCAAGUUAAAAAGACUUCACAGAGGGGAGAUCCUAGAAGAUGCUCCAUUCUGUGCUCAAGGGGUAAAACAUGAAUAUGCUACUGCUGUGAUGAGAGAGGGAUACCGUCCCAACAUGACUAUUGCUGAAGGUGUAGCUUUAUUGGUGAAGGCUAUUCAAGCAGCAUUUGAAGCCGACGAACAGAUCAUCUUGGGGGGGUAUAUUGAAGUCCUGGUAGUUGGAUUCAGAGACAUAUAUGGUCUCCCCAUGUCAAGGGGAGAACAAAUGUUGGACAGAGCUUUCACAUGCUAUAGGGUACAGAAGUUUCGAAAACGUGGCGUAAGAGGACCUGUAAAAGCUCCAUAUAAAAGGCGCAGGUUAAUUUUACAGGAUUCAGAUGAUGAACUGUAGCUGGCGUGAAUUGAGUGGUAGUGAACUGACUUCUGUGACAGGGGGGGUCUUACUGAUGUUAAGUGUUUUAGAGACAAGCAACAACUUAGUGAUGCUAUUUUAACUCAAAUCUUUUGGUUUCAAUUACAAUUUCAUAUACCUUCUUAUAGAUGUUUGAGCUCAGCCUCAACUCAAGAACAAUGAAUAUGGUGGUGUUCACCAUUUUUAGGAAACAAUGCUUUUGUGCAGAUUUUUGGCAUAUGAAUUUUUAAUGAAAAAAGACUAGUCU